CUGUCUCCUUGUGAUAGACUUUGGGUACGUCCCAAAGCUCUUAAUUUCCGUUUCCUCGCUCCUCGAUCCUCGCUUGAACCGGAAGUUGUUCUGGUGCGCCAUUUUGAAGACCGUCCCAAA